GACGGCAGCACGGGAGCUUGCUCCUGGUGGCGAGUGGCGAACGGGUGAGUAAUGCGUCGGAACGUACCGAGUAAUGGGGGAUAACGCAGCGAAAGCUGUGCUAAUACCGCAUACGCCCUGAGGGGGAAAGUGGGGGAUCGCAAGACCUCACGUUAUUCGAGCGGCCGACGUCUGAUUAGCUAGUUGGUGGGGUAAUGGCCUACCAAGGCGACGAUCAGUAGCGGGUCUGAGAGGAUGAUCCGCCACACUGGGACUGAGACACGGCCCAGACUCCUACGGGAGGCAGCAGUGGGGAAUUUUGGACAAUGGGGGCAACCCUGAUCCAGCCAUUCCGCGUGAGUGAAGAAGGCCUUCGGGUUGUAAAGCUCUUUCAGCUGGAACGAAACGGUACAGGCUAAUACCCUGUGCUAAUGACGGUACCGGCAGAAGAAGCACCGGCUAACUACGUGUCAGCAGCCGCGGUAAUACGUAGGGUGCGAGCGUUAAUCGGAAUUACUGGGCGUAAAGCGUGCGCAGGCGGAUUGUUAAGCAAGAUGUGAAAUCCCCGGGCUUAACCUGGGAAUGGCAUUUUGAACUGGCAGUCUAGAGUGCGUCAGAGGGGGGUGGAAUUCCACGUGUAGCAGUGAAAUGCGUAGAGAUGUGGAGGAACACCAAUGGCGAAGGCAGCCCCCUGGGAUGACACUGACGCUCAUGUA
rnacentral:rRNA from 1 species